CAGCGCCACAAGUGGGGACCAGUAUUAUUGGGCCUAAAGCGUCCGUAGCCGGUUUGAUAAAUCUUUUGUGAAAUUGUACAGCUUAACUGUACAGCGUGCAAGAGACACUGUCAAACUUGAGACCGGGAGGAGUCAGAAGUAUUCCAGAGGGAGCGGUAAAAUGUUAUAAUCUCUGGAGGACUACCUGUGGCGAAGGCGUCUGACCAGAACGGAUCUGACGGUGAGGGACGAAAGCUAGGGGAGCGAACCGGAUUAGAUACCCGAGUAGUCC
rnacentral:rRNA from 1 species